UAGGGAAUCUUCCACAAUGGACGCAAGUCUGAUGGAGCAACGCGCGUGAGUGAAGAAGGUCUUCGGAUCGUAAAGCUCUGUUGUUGGUGAAGAAGGAUAGAGGCAGUAACUGGUCUUUAUUUGACGGUAAUCAACCAGAAAGUCACGGCUAACUACGUGCCAGCAGCCGCGGUAAUACGUAGGUGGCAAGCGUUGUCCGGAUUUAUUGGGCGUAAAGCGAGCGCAGGCGGAAUGAUAAGUCUGAUGUGAAAGCCCACGGCUCAACCGUGGAACUGCAUCGGAAACUGUCAUUCUUGAGUGCAGAAGAGGAGAGUGGAACUCCAUGUGUAGCGGUGGAAUGCGUAGAUAUAUGGAAGAACACCAGUGGCGAAGGCGGCUCUCUGGUCUGCAACUGACGCUGAGGCUCGAAAGCAUGGGUAGCGAACAGGAUUAGAUACCCUGGUAGUCCAUGCCGUAAACGAUGAGCGCUAGGUGUUGGGG
rnacentral:rRNA from 1 species